rnacentral:rRNA from 1 species
UCCCUGAGUAGCGGCGAGCGAAACGGGAAGAGCCCAAACCAACAAGCUUGCUUGUUGGGGUUGUAGGACACUCUAUACGGAGUUACAAAAGAACAUGUUAGACGAAUCAUCUGGAAAGAUGAAUCAAAGAAGGUAAUAAUCCUGUAGUCGAAAACAUAUUCUCUCUUGAGUGGAUCCUGAGUACGACGGAGCACGUGAAAUUCCGUCGGAAUCUGGGAGGACCAUCUCCUAAGGCUAAAUACUCUCUAGUGACCGAUAGUGAACCAGUACCGUGAGGGAAAGGUGAAAAGUACCCCGGAAGGGGAGUGAAAGAGAACUUGAAACCGUGUGCUUACAAGUAGUCAGAGCCCGUUAAUGGGUGAUGGCGUGCCUUUUGUAGAAUGAACCGGCGAGUUACGAUCUGAUGCAAGGUUAAGCAGCAAAUGUGGAGCCGCAGCGAAAGCGAGUCUGAAUAGGGCGUUGAGUAUUUGGUCGUAGACCCGAAACCAGGUGAUCUACCCUUGGUCAGGUUGAAGUUCAGGUAACACUGAAUGGAGGACCGAACCGACUUACGUUGAAAAGUGAGCGGAUGAACUGAGGGUAGCGGAGAAAUUCCAAUCGAACUUGGAGAUAGCUGGUUCUCUCCGAAAUAGCUUUAGGGCUAGCCUCAAGUGAUGAUUAUUGGAGGUAGAGCACUGUUUGGACGAGGGGCCCCUCUCGGGUUACCGAAUUCAGACAAACUCCGAAUGCCAAUUAAUUUAACUUGGGAGUCAGAACAUGGGUGAUAAGGUCCGUGUUCGAAAGGGAAACAGCCCAGACCACCAGCUAAGGUCCCAAAAUAUAUGUUAAGUGGAAAAGGAUGUGGCGUUGCCCAGACAACUAGGAUGUUGGCUUAGAAGCAGCCAUCAUUUAAAGAGUGCGUAAUAGCUCACUAGUCGAGUGACACUGCGCCGAAAAUGUACCGGGGCUAAACAUAUUACCGAAGCUGUGGAUUGUCCUUUGGACAAUGGUAGGAGAGCGUUCUAAGGGCGUCGAAGCAUGAUCGCAAGGACAUGUGGAGCGCUUAGAAGUGAGAAUGCCGGUGUGAGUAGCGAAAGACGGGUGAGAAUCCCGUCCACCGAUUGACUAAGGUUUCCAGAGGAAGGCUCGUCCGCUCUGGGUUAGUCGGGUCCUAAGCUGAGGCCGACAGGCGUAGGCGAUGGAUAACAGGUUGAUAUUCCUGUACCACCUAGUAUCGUUUUAAUCGAUGGGGGGACGCAGUAGGAUAGGCGAAGCGUGCUGUUGGAGUGCACGUCCAAGCAGUAAGGCUGAGUGUUAGGCAAAUCCGGCACUCAUAAGGCUGAGCUGUGAUGGGGAGAGGAAAUUGUUUCCUCGAGUCGUUGAUUUCACACUGCCGAGAAAAGCCUCUAGAUAGAUAACAGGUGCCCGUACCGCAAACCGACACAGGUAGUCAAGAUGAGAAUUCUAAGGUGAGCGAGCGAACUCUCGUUAAGGAACUCGGCAAAAUGACCCCGUAACUUCGGGAGAAGGGGUGCUCUUUAGGGUUCACGCCCAGAAGAGCCGCAGUGAAUAGGCCCAAGCGACUGUUUAUCAAAAACACAGGUCUCUGCUAAACCGUAAGGUGAUGUAUAGGGGCUGACGCCUGCCCGGUGCUGGAAGGUUAAGAGGAGUGGUUAGCUUCUGCGAAGCUACGAAUCGAAGCCCCAGUAAACGGCGGCCGUAACUAUAACGGUCCUAAGGUAGCGAAAUUCCUUGUCGGGUAAGUUCCGACCCGCACGAAAGGCGUAACGAUUUGGGCACUGUCUCAACGAGAGACUCGGUGAAAUCAUAGUACCUGUGAAGAUGCAGGUUACCCGCGACAGGACGGAAAGACCCCGUGGAGCUUUACUGUAGCCUGAUAUUGAAAUUCGGCACAGCUUGUACAGGAUAGGUAGGAGCCUUUGAAACGUGAGCGCUAGCUUACGUGGAGGCGUUGGUGGGAUACUACCCUAGCUGUGUUGGCUUUCUAACCCGCACCACUUAUCGUGGUGGGAGACAGUGUCAGGCGGGCAGUUUGACUGGGGCGGUCGCCUCCUAAAAGGUAACGGAGGCGCUCAAAGGUUCCCUCAGAAUGGUUGGAAAUCAUUCGAAGAGUGUAAAGGCAGAAGG